UACGGAGGGUGCAAACGUUGUUCGGAAUCAUUGGGCGUAAAGCGUGUGUAGGCGGUCUGUUAAGUCGGGUGUGAAAGCCCUGGGCUCAACCCAGGAAGUGCAUUCGAAACUAGCAGACUUGAGUACGGGAGAGGGUCGCGGAAUUCCCGGUGUAGAGGUGAAAUUCGUAGAUAUCGGGAGGAACACCAGUGGCGAAGGCGGCGACCUGGACCGAUACUGACGCUGAGACACGAAAGCGUGGGGAGCAAACAGG
rnacentral:rRNA from 1 species